GAAUCGUUAGCUCAGCUGGUUUAGAGCGNNGGUCACUGGUUCGAACCCAGUACGAUUCA
rnacentral:tRNA from 1 species